CCGUCGUCGGAGCUCUCAGCUCUGCACUUCUCGUGUUCUCUACAAAUCGCUGAGGUUGGGUUAGAGUUGGUGUGAGAUUUGGUGAAGGUGGUCUAUCUUUCUUCUCUGAAUUCGGUUGCUCAUCUCUUAAUUUGAUCGUUCAUAGUGAUAGUGAAGGUUGGGCUAAACAAUAUGCAGCUUGAUUUCGUAGUAUUUGUAAAAUUUAACCAAAGAACAUUUGAGUUUGAUUUGUAAUUUGCUUGAUUGAGUUUGAUCCAUAAUCGAAGCUGUUUGCUCAGAUAUCUUUAGUCUAAUAACUUUCAGCAUCUCGAUUUGGUGUUUACUUGUACAUAUUUGUGAUUUCUGAUUCAUAAUCCAUGCUAUAUAUAUUAGCUUUUGGGAAAUUUCUUAUUAGCUUCUCAUAUAUAUUGAUCAAAUGGGCGUUAGUUGGAAAUUUUGAACUGUUUAUAGCUUCUUAAAUUUAUAUGACAGUAUUUGUUUGAUCUUUUAAGUCCAGAAGUAGUGUGCGAAUUAGGGCGUAAAAGAAAAAUGAAGCCGUAGAAGAGGGCUCUUUUUUGUGUGGAGCACUACUUAUCCGUUUUUGAACUUCAUGAUGGAUCGGUACCAGAGAGUGAAGAAGCCAAGAGCAGAGACUCCAAUUGAUGAGAAUGAGAUUAGGAUUACGAGCCAAGGGAGGAUGCGAAACUACAUCACUUACGCCAUGACUCUGCUUCAGAGAAUCUCCCCAAGUUCCAGAGGCACAUGUUAAAUGAACUUUCUGAAACGGCGACUUUGGAGUUAAAGGGUUCUUCAAAAUGUUCAUGGACUGUUUUAGUGAGUCAAAUAGAAGGGGAUAUAUAUAUAUAUA